rnacentral:rRNA from 1 species
CCCUUAGAUGUUCUGGGCCGCACGCGCGCUACACUGACGAAUGCAACGAGCUUAUAACCUUGGCCGAAAGGUCUGGGUAAUCUCCAAAUUUCGUCGUGAUGGGGAUAGAUUAUUGCAAUUAUUAAUCUUCAACGAGGAAUGCCUAGUAAGCGCAAGUCAUCAGCUUGCGUUGAUUACGUCCCUGCCCUUUGUACACACCGCCCGUCGCACCUACCGAUUGGAUGGUCCGGUGAAGCCUCGGGAUUGUGGUUCUUGCCGCUUUAUUGUGGCGUGACCGCGAGAACUUGUCUAAACCUUAUCAUCUAGAGGAAGGUGAANUCGUANCA